ACUUGAAUAGUUUAUUAAAAAUAUAGGUUUGUGGUUCCUGAGAAAUUUAGUUAAAUUUCAAGUU
rnacentral:tRNA from 1 species